UGCAGGUUGAAUUUCUUCCUAGUAUGCAAAAUGUUUUGAUUUGGGUUCUCAAAUCUGAUUAAGCUUCAGCACAUUGUUAGUUUCACUUUCUGCAGUACACUUGCCCAGGGGUUGAAACCAGUACAGAGAUUCUAUUUUCCAUAGGGAUAGGAAUUUUUGGGUUCAUCCUCCUUGCCCUUCUGAUAGGAAAUGUACAGGUGAGGCAUAUACGUCCUUUAUUUUGGAAAUGUUGGUUGAAGAUGAAGAUGCCCAAAGAGAGCAUGUGUUUUCAUGAUGGGGAUGUGUUCUUGGUUGUUGAGAAUGCAAGAGUAUAUUACUUGUAUUGCUAUAACUACACUCUCUUGAAGCAUUCUUUUCUGUUUCUCAGAAAAUGUAGAAAAAAUGAAAGAAACUACGGAAAGCCAAUUACAAUAAGACUCUCUGAACCAUGGCAUGCCACUGUCUGAGUUUAGGGUUUAUUAUGUUAACUUUUCUUGGAACUGUCUCACAUAAAAUCAAGAAUUUUCUUCCAU
rnacentral:lncRNA from 1 species